UGCUCCUUUGAGGCUGCAUUCUAUCAGCCCAGAAAUCUGGAACAAAGGGUGAGGUCCAAGAAAAUUGAUGCAAUUGCAAUAGAAUGAGCAUUGAAAAUGCUGAUACCACACAUUGCAACUGCAGCAAUGGACUGGACCAAAACAAAGUACCUGUAAAAAAGAUACACAUGUUAGUAAACCAGUAGGUAGACAUGUCCUUUGUCAUAUUGAUCAUUUGUGUGUCUAUGGAGAUGAUUGGGGUUUGGAUUGAUGAAUUAGCUUCCUUGAGUAUGCAGUUGUCAACCAUAUCCAUAUCCAUGAGAGUUAGAACUGGAAGGUCUGUUAGCUGAAAAUUAGAUCAUGUGGGUUUGUUUGUGUCUAAAGGCAGGUGUGUUGUUCUGAUCGAGUUGUAUCUGGACUUUGAUGUGUAGUGGUAAGUCUGGCAUAUGUUGAAAAUGUGUUAUAUGUGGCAAGUUAUGGAUGAGCUUGGAUAAAGAAUCAGCUGGGAAGUUGGCUUCCCUAUACACAUGGGUAAGGAUGAUAUCAUUGCACUGCCUACAGAGGUCUUUGAGGUCAUGUAUUUUCAUGGUCAACUUCCAAUGGGGUUCAGAGCUGUGUUUGAUCCAUUGAAUCAAUAGAAAAGAGUCAUCUUCAAGAUGAAUGUUUGAGAAACCAUUCUCCAAACACCAUUUGAUUCCAAUAAGUGCAACUUCAGUUUUUGCUUGGUUAUUGGUGCCUAUCCCCAGAGGAGCAACUAUUGUAUGAAUGAAGCCACCUUGUGAGUCUCUAACUAUAACCCCUGCUCCUAUACUCCCAAGAUUUGUAAGAGCACUGUCAUCACUAUUUAUUUUCAUAAAUCUUUCUGCAGGUUUAUGCCAGAUUACUUAUUUGGUAAUGGUGAUAUGCUGAAUCUCCUAUGUUUAGGUAUACAGUUCAAUCGAGUUGAUAGGCCAAUUGAAUAUUGGAUAAUUGGUUGUGAGCAAGAGAUGAAUAUCCGAGUUAAUGGAGAAAAGAACUCUAUUCAUGGAGGAAGACCUGUUGCCAUACUUUGCAUUACACCUAUUCUUCCACAAAUUCCAACAAAUGAUGAUAGGCAGGGUCUCCAGAAGAAGUUUCUGCACUAUAUUCUUGCUCUUUUAUAGCCACCAUUUCAUCAAGAGGAGCCUGAGUGGCAUGUCCUCCAGUUUGAAUCCAACAAUACCUGAAUAUUUUUUCCAUACAGCUCUUGCAAAAUGACCUCUGGAGAAGAUGUGGUCAACUGUUUCUAAAUGAUGUAUAAUGCAGCAAACACAUCUAGUGACAGUAGGCUGCCCAAAGCAAAGUACUCUAUCAUCAGUUGGUAGCUUAUUUUUUAUGGCUCUCCAUACACAAAAGGACCAUUUGAAGGGGAUCUUUUUAUGCCAAGUCAUCUUGUUAUAGAACAAUAUUUGUUUCUUUUUCUGAUCACCUCCCAAGCAGAUACACAGGUGAAGUUUCCUGAUGUGUUUGGAGUCCAUAUAGGCUUAUCUGGGGUCUGUGGUCUGAAAUAUAUGGGUGUCUGCAAAAUUUCUGUGAUUUUAUGUUCAGGUGCUAUUGUAUUAAGUUUCUGUAUGUUCCAUUGAUCAUGAUCCCAAAAAUGUGCAACACUGAUGUUACCAAGUCUACCACCUUGAUGUCUAUGAUUUGCCAGAGGACCAGUUCCUAGCCAGUUAUCCCAUCAAAAACUAGCAUUACCUGAAUGAAGUCUCCAAUGUAUAUGAACCUCAACUUUGUUUUUGUUGAUCAUCAUUUUUUUUCAGGCUUGGGACUGACCAGUGUCCUAUUUCUUAGAAAUAGGAUGUUAUCUCUUGCAGUAUUUGGCCAAGAGGAAGCUGCUCCACAAGGAUUGUUUUGUCCUAAAGGUCCACCAUUAUUUGAAUUUCAUUGUUGUGCAUACAUCCUCUGUAGAUCUGAUACCAAUCCCUCCUUCAUUAUGAGGGUAAGUCAAUAUUCUCCAAGAGGCCCAGUGGUAUUUAUUUUUAUCUUUCUCGACACCCCAGAAGAAAUUUGCAGCCAUUUUUUCUAUCUGCUUUAUUACUGUUUUGGGAGGUGAAACAGCUGACAGGAGGUGUAUGGGUAAGGACUGAAGAACAUGUUUGAUCAAGGUAACAUUACUACCAUAGGAAAGAAGCUUGCCAUGCCAACCUCUAAUUCUAUUAAUGAACUUAGAGAUUAAGCCAUUGAAGUGAACAAUUCUUUUCCUUCCAGUGUAGAGAGGGCAACCUAGUAUGUGAUAGGUGAUUCCUUCCUUGUGAAUCCAGUGAUUUGUUGAAUCCUUGACACAUUGUAGUGGAACACACAUGAAGUAACCAUAAAGUAACUCUUGUUUUUGUUGAUCAUUUAUCCAGAAGUAUUUUCAUAUACAGCAAGAAUGCCCAUAAUGUUUUGCAAUGGAAUUCUAGUACCUGAAUUGAAAAUGAUCACAUUAUCUACAAAGCUUAGAUGAUUGAUUUGUGGUCCCCUUAUGUCCAUGUAGAAACCAUUAAGAGUUGGUAAUCAGUGAGUCUGUUAAGCAAUUUUGAUAGUGAUUCUACCCAAUGAUAAAAAGUGUUGGUGCAAGUGGAUCACCUUGUUUAAGACCUCUAGUUGACUUAAUGAAACCAUGUCUAACACCAUUUACAAUUACAGAGUACCAAUUGUUCGACAUUGUCCUCCAGAUCAUGUCUAUGAAUAUUUCAUUGAAUCCCAUCCUUCUGAGCAUAAUACAGGUAAAGAUUCAUGAGACUCUAUCAUAAGCCUUAGCCAUAUCAAGCUUGAUCACUACAUUGGCCCCAGUGUUUUGUUUCUUAAUGCCCUGAACUAUUUUUUGUGCAAGCAUGAUAUUUUCAGAGAUACUCCUUCCUCUAACAAAACCAGUUUGGUUUGGGGAAAUUAUUCUUGGAAAAAUUGGAACCAGUCUUGUGCAGAUGAGCUUUGAGAUGACUUUGUUGAUGAAAUUACUGAGGCUAUAGGUCUGAAUUCAGUAAAGGAGUUGGGAAAAUCAACUUUAGGCAGCAUGACCAAGCAAGCAUGGGUGAAGUAUCUGGGCAUGGUGGAACCUCUGUAGAAAGCUAGGACUACAUUAAGCAGUUCAAGCUUGAUGACAUCCCAACAAAAUUGGAUGAAAGUCCCAUUCAUACCAUCUGGGCCAGCAGCAAUGUUAGGAUUCAUAGAAAAGACCACUUGUUUGAGUUCUUACAUGGUUGGAUCUUUGGUGAGUUCAGCAUCAUCUUCAUCAGUGAUCAAGGAAGGAAUGCAAGUUAGUAAAUCUUCUCUGACAAUUCCAUCUGUUUCAGUGAACAUAUUCUUAAAGUGCUCACGAGCAACAUCACCUUGGAUCCAGUUUCCGUCUUCAUCUUUAAUUCUAUGAAUGUAAAGCCUCCUUUUUCUGCCUAUGAUUAAACUAUAAAAGUAUUCAGAAUUGGCAUCUCUAUCUUUGAACCAUUGCAUUUAUGUUUUUUGUUUCAAAACUGCCUCCUCUACCUUGAGGUAUGAGACAUAGUGAACCUUGAGUUUGUGUAGGGCUAUUCUGUCAACUGGAUCAUUAGUAGCAGCCCACUUCUCCUCUGCUUCUUUGACCUUCUGUUCAUAUACUCCUUUGGUUUUUGGAAGAUAUCCCUAUAUUGAAUUCUGGACCAUUUGCCCAGGGCUUGUGAAAGGGCUUUGAGCUUCUGAUGAAACACCCACUUUGUAGUCCCUUCCACAUGUUUGUUCCAUACACUCUGUACUAUAGAUAGAAAACUGUCAUUUUCUGUCCAACAGUUGAGAAAUCUGAAGUAUUUCUUGGCUUGGUCAUGUUGUCCAUGAAUCUUCAUAAGCAGUGGUGAAUGGUCAGAACCAGCACAUGUAAGAUGACUGAUAGUAGUAGUAGGGAAAGAGACUAGCCAGUUGUCAUUGGCAAGUCCUCUGUCCAAUCUCUUCCACACAAUAGCACCAGGUCCUUUUCCAUUUGACCAAGUGUAUCUUGAACCAUAGAAGCCAAGGUCAACAAAUCCACAAUCCUCCAUCAUACUCAGGAAGUCAAAACUCUUGCUCAUUUGAUAUGGUACUCCUCCAAUUUUCUCCCCAGUAGAAGCAAUAACAUUAAAAUCUCCAAUAAUACACCAAGGCACAGUGCAAAUUAUAGAUUUCAGUACCAAUGUCUUCCAAAGUGGUAUUCUCAUUGCAGGUUUACAUUUGGCAUAGAUGACGGUCAAGUGAAAUGUUUCUGUAGCUUCCACAUGUUUUAGUUCAAUAGUAAGUUGUUGCUCAUCUUGAUCUAAAACUUGCCCAGAAAAUUUAUUAUCCCAAAAAAUUCAAAUUUUGUUAUUGAUGUUGGAGGUUGCAUGGUGCAUAGAUAAUUGGAGUCUAAAGUAGUUAAGGUGGUUUGUAUCAAGAAAAGGUUCAAGCACAGCAAUGAAAGAAAGGUUAUGAAGUUUUUUCAGAAGUCUGAGCCUUUCAAUAGUUCCUGAGGUUUUGAUGCCUCUUGCAUUCCAAAUAAUUGUACUAAUCAUUGGAAGAUGGGUGUGGUUUUGGACUUGGAUGGUUUGUUGCCAGUAACAGCAACUUUUCUUCUAGUGACUCUGGGUGAGGGCCUGAGUCUGGAAAAAGAUUUUGGUUCAUACUGAUUUCCUCCUGUUCAGAAGAGGCAUUGACAGCUUUAGUAAGGAGGUCACAGUGAUUGUCUGUAUCAAUUUCUUCAUCCCUGACAGGCUCAUCAUUAGAAACUUCCCAGUUUUCAUCUUUUGAUUUGAUAGGUCUGUAUUCAUCUUCAUCUUGAGGAAUAGGAGAGAACCUAUUCAUCGAACUAGUAAGUGCACUAUGAAGUAGAAGGUUAGGUUCACUUGCCACAUUGGUUGUUGCAGGUCCAGAUUGUUCUACUGAAGUUGGAUAUUGUUGAGGAUCUGAUGGCUUUGCAGGAUCAUCAGGUGGUUUGUCAAGGUAAGAACUGUGGAUUCUUUCAUUAAUUAACAGCGGUUGCAACAGAGUAUAUUCAUCCUGAUUAGCAACCUCCCUGACUUUAAAAACACUGUCAGAAUCAUUCAUACCAUAUCCAGGAAUUCAUUUCUGUUGGAUCAUUGGACUGUGUGGAUGAGUGAGUGCCUCGGAUUGUUCAUUAGUUCAUACUGUAAUAGUUUCGCUUGCUUUCCUUCUCACAACUCUUCUUUUCCUCUGGCUGUGAUUAUUCUUGUGUGUAGCAGCUUGAAUUGGGAAGUCUCACACUACUUUGCCUUUACCUUUGAGCAUUCUUGACAGAACAUCUGGAUGUUCUUCUUCAGCACUACUAAUAUCAAUAUUGUCUUCUUCAUGAAUUUGGUGUAGCUGAUUAGUGGUAGCAGAGGAUAUUUGGGUCAUCCUAUGGUCAAUCGAUGGUGCAAAGGCACACUCAUGCAAAAUAUGAGGAAUUCCACCCCUUUUUGGAUCCCCAUUUCUUAGGCCUACAGGUUUCUCCUGACAAUCCAUCUUCCCUCCAGUACCUUCAUGAGUAGAAGAUGAUGUUUUUCCCCUUCAUAGCUCCAGUUGAUUGUUGGGUGUUUGCAGAUCCUUGCAUGACAAUUGCAGAAUCAUUUUUGGUAUUACCUUGAUUUUGUGCUCCUGCUACCUGCUUUUGGUGUAGAUUUUGAGCCUGUUUUUUGUUGUUCUAUCCCUUGAAUUGUUUUUUCUUUUAAGUUUUCCAUUCAUCUGUUCAAUAGCUGUGCCCUGCACUUUGAUUUUCCUCCAUUAGUUGGUUGCUUCCUUCUAUGUGAACUGUGGUAGUAGUGGUAUUUUAUUGAGUUUGUUGAACUUGAGUUUGCUGAUUGUCUUGUUGUUGCUGGUGAUUUUGUGGUUUCCUUUGGUCCUGAUGUUGUUGUUCUCCCUUAGUGUCAGUUUUGAUAUUGUCUCUUUUCUUCUUAUUUUCUUCUUCUUUAAUUCUAACAGAGCAUGCAUGCAUAUUGUGGCCAAGAAGUUUGCAAUGAAGGCAAUAUUGAGGAAUGCUUUCAUACUGGACUUCAAGACAUCUGCCAUCACCAUUCACAUCCUGAUUCUCAUCAAAUCCCAACCAUACAUGAUGUGCUCUUGGUUUAGUGAGAUCAAUCUGUAAUUUGACCUUUGUCACACUUCCUCUUGUCUUUUGAAAGGAUGUCAAGUCCAGAUGCAAAGCUUUACCAACUAAAGUAAGGAGACCUGUGAGAAUCUCCAUAUGGUAGAAAUGCAAAGGUAGCUCUAGGAUUACCACCCAUACAUGAACUAUAGGUGAAUCUUCAUUGAGAUUGAAUUUUGGUGUCCAGGAUUCUAAUUUCAUCAUUUGACCUUGUAUGUGCAUAGAUUGUCUAGUCCAUAUAGUGACAUGAUCAUACUCAUUGUCCAGGUCUAUGUAAACUGUCCUGGCAUUAAAAUGUGCAAUUUUGAUCUUUUAACUCAGUUUGAGCAACAAAACUUAUUCUGAUCACUUCCAUCCUAGGAAUGGUGUUCGAGAAUUUGCCAACCACAAUGAAUUUGCACUCGGCAGCUAAGUUGACCACAUAAUCUUCCUUGGUAAAAACGACUGCAGGUUGGCCCUGUUUUGUGGAGAUUUUAGGGGGUGAAUUGUAUGGGGGCAUGUUCAGCUUCUUGUCUAGCUCUAAGUCUGUUGACAUAAGAAUGUGUGAUGGUAGGUGGUGGAGGAGGAUAGGUGUUGAUUGGUUGUUUGGGUUUUUUGCUAAUUUCAGUAGAUUGUAUUGUAAGUGUGCUUUGUUUGGGCAUGGGCUGAGGUGCUUGGACUUCUGAGUAGGUAUUCUUAUCAAAGUUGGAAGAUAUUUUAGGAAAGGUACCUGCAUCAGUAGUAGGUGAAAUCUUUGGUUGGGUCUGAGAUUGGUUGAUAUUGGGAUGAUCAUGAGGUGAGUUAGGUCAUUGAGUGACUACAACUAUUUCCUGAGUUUCAUUACCAGUAGAAAUGACAGUAACACCAUGUGGAGCAGCAGGAACGAGCUUCUAAUUUAAAUUAUCAACUUGGCGGGUGUUACCUGGGCCUUUGGCAGAAUAGUUUUAUCCAUUUUAUGAUUCAUGUCAUGACUUGAGAUGUUAGAAAAAUUGACUAUGGAUUCAGAAAAGACCUCCAAUUGGUCAGAACACAAUUGACCAGGCUCACCAUCAAUGUCGAUCGACUGUGGGAUAACUGGAGGUUUUAGAGUUGCAGUGAAUGCACUUUUUUCAGUUGGUUGAAUUAAAACCUCAUUUGAGCUAUAAUUAUCCAUCUCCCUAACCAUAGGAAGCAUCUCCAUUUGGUUGGGAAAGUUUUGAACACAUGUAACAUCGAGUUCGAAUAACUGAUGCCCUACUUGCUUCGAAAAAUCAGAGCUUUCAAUUCCUGAAGUAGAUUGAGUUGAAACUUUAUAGAUAUGUUCUCCACCUUCCUUAGAAGCAUCUCCAACACUUUUCAUGAUUAAUGGGGAAGUACAAAUGUGUUUGGCAUUUUGUCGAACAGCUGGGGGGCUCACAGUUGCAGAAAUCAUUUUUUGCAAUGUUGUGGAGACUGAACGGUUGAAAUGGAGUGGGGAUAGAUUAGAAACAAUCUCCUUACCUGCGGAGAUUAUUUCGCAUUGGUUUUGUUCCAUUUGGACCCCUGUGUUACCAUGUGUGACCAACUGGUGCUCUCCGGCAAAGUUCAGAUAAUCGCUGACGACGAUUCCGGAUGUGUAAUGGGGUGAAACUUGGUGGGACGAUGGUAUUUGAGUUGGAGAACAAUCUCUAUAGCUCGGAAUCACUCGAUUUGGCCCAGAAAUGGAGUGGGAUUUUUCAGAAGUGCCCAGGCAAUUUAACGCUACAGUGAUCGCUCAACCAGCUUUGAUUUCCGUAGCAACUGGCGGUGAAUCGAUGAGGGCGCCCAACUAGGGCUUGUGCGCAUUGAUAUUGCGCUUCUUUUGGGACUGGUCCGGUGGCUUUUCACCACCGGAUGACGUGUAGCACUGUUUAGGGUUGUCUUUAGGCGACUGUAUGAAGAGAGGUAUUUAUAGCUUCCCAGCGACGGUUCACGUGGGGACAGAUUUGGGGUAAAACGAAAAAGGGUUUAAAAAAUAUAAGGGCAACUAGUCAACUUGUUGUGCUUCACGCGGUUAAAAUAAAAAAGAAAAUUUACGAUUUGAUCUAGCUAUAAAUAAAUCGAGGCAUAACAAUUGGAACUCUUUUUGUAUAUGCAUUCAAAUAUAAAUAUUUUCCCCAAUAAUUCCAAAACUCUACAUAUCACCUAUUUUAAUUAACUUUCAACAUAGAGGGUCAAAAAUAAAAAAAAAUAAAAAAAGUAACGGUUAAUAGAUAUGAGAAUUAUAGAUUCAAAUAUAAGUUAGCUCUAUCUAUUAAAGCUUAGAUAUACGAAAAGAGUCAAAUAUCGGUACACCACAAUUUUCUUUUAAUCUGAGAAGCUCAGAUCCUUCAGUGAAAUUCUCAAGAACUCGAAAGGCACCAUGUAUUCAACUUAUAAUUUCCCUUUCUUUUUUCUUCUCUAGAGAAGAUCGAGUCUGGCAACAAAAUUACACACAUGUAAGAUAUUUGCAAGCUCUAUUUAUAAAAGUAAUUUAUCUUUAAGGUCUCGAAGGAUUCAGGAAAAUUUUAAGCAAGAUAAAUAGAAAGAGAUUCAACAUGUAUUAUGUUUUAUCAAUUCUUUCUCUUCCGUCCUUUCUCAAUUGGUGAAAAUAUAGUAAGAUUAUAAAGUAUACACAAAGAUAUAUCUUCUAAUUUACCAUCCAAAAUACAGAAAGAUAGGAAGGCUAAAAGAUAUUUGAAAAUUUUAAAUAUUAAAGUAAGGAAGCUUGUAUAUAACAAUGGAAACUUGCCUAAAAACAAAUUCGCGUUCUUGUUUCUUAUGUCACUAUCUAGUUUUCUGCAAUUAACAAAAGGCCAUAAAGAAUAACAUCCGCAAUCAGUUGAUAGUAAAAGAAUGCAGUCAGUUCUUUGAUAAACAUUUCAAUAAAAUGUGGUGUGAAGUAUAUUGCACACAAAGACAUGAUGUUUAUUCAUUUUGUUUCCCAUUAAAGAUUGGGAUUAGUAUCUACAAUACCAUACAUGAUAGUACGAAAAUGUAUAGCCAUGACAAAACAGAUAGUACUACAUGGGCUUCAUUCUAAGUCCUCCUUUUUGUGUCCCUCUUUUUUUUUCCAAAUUUUGCAAGCACCAUAGGGAAAAAAUACAUUUUACCCAUUGGUGAACAUUGUCCAUAAGCGAUCAACUGGAAAAAAGUCAUAAUAAAUAGGGAACAGGAACUGAAUUAAAGAAGCCAAUAUCUAAUUUGAUUAGUCAAAAGAUAAUCAUAUAUCCAAGAUACUUAGUACCACGAUUACCUAAUAAUUGCAAAUCCACUAUCCGUCAACAUUCCCGAAAGCUGGCUUUUCAUAAGCCACAAGUAACAACAUUGCCUCAAACCCAACUGAAGUAAACAUAGUGCAUUAAAAAUAAUCAGGAAACUUCUGAGGAAGCAUCUCACUUUUCCAAGAGAAAGAAAUAAAAAUGUAUAAGGCUCUAUUUCAUGGUCAUCGACAAAAAAUUAUGUUAUCAGUAACAUAUUAAUUCUUCAUCUCCUUGGUUUCUUUUAAAACCUUAAGUUACCAGUUAACAUGAUAACAAAGUAUAUCGAAGAUAUGGAAGCCAACUUCUACUAACUUGCUCAACAUAAGCUAAGAGAAGGUGAUGUAACAGAACAGAUUGUGCCCUUUGCAGAUGAGCAUAUUUCAAGAACUAUGAGUUAUUCGUUCUUCAUAGCUAGUCUAACCAAUGCCGUAUACAGGUCAUAUGGCAACAAACAUGUAUGCAUAGUAACUUUUGAGGUCUGAAUACCUUGUAAAUUGAACAUGUUGCGCAAUAUCGCCUAUUUUCCCGAGGAAAAAUGGCCUCAAAAUUACCUGAUCUUUCACUACUUACAUUGCUUUACAUAUCCUCACUUUGUUCUUUUUUUGCAUCCAAAAAAACUGCAACAAUGGUUAAAUUUCAUUGUCCUAAAACUAUAAGAUGAAAUCGAGAAGAAUAAAAAGGAAAUUAUACAUUAUUCAGUGAGGUCCAAAUCGCAACAUUCUGAUGUACCUUUGCCAGUAACAGAGAUUGACCCAUUGUAAGGUUUUAACAUAGUCAGUUUAAGACCUUGAAAUUAAAAAGAAAUCCAAGCAAUUCAGUUUUCUUGAACAUUGUCUGCACUGGAACAUGAAGAUAAAGUUAUAAGAUAUAAGAAUCAAUCGACUUUUGACAUUCAAACUUAACUUGGACUAUGUAAAGACUCCAUUAAAUAGGGUACGGGAAAAUGCCAAAUUAUUUGGAGUUGUAUUUAAACACUCUUGGAAACUAUAGAAAAAAUGCAGAAAAAGAAAUUCUACUUUCGAAGGCCUUGUUCAUGUUUGAAGAAGAAGAAAGCUAUUGUUUUAAAGAAGAAUAACCAUUGUACAAACCCUUUCACAUUCUUAACUAUAUUGUUGACUCUUCUUUCACAUCCAUCACAGUCCAUUUACACAUUUGUUUAAACCUUCUACCAAGAAAAACGAAGAAGAAUUCUCGAAUAGUACAAAAAUUAUAAAUAAAUUGAGAAUAAGCAAAGAGGAAAAAAGCGGAAAGAAAGAUAGAAUAGUAAAAAGCAGAAAUUUAUUGCAUCAUAUGCAUGUACAUAGAAAUUCCAAAGAUUUCAAUAAUAGCUUCAAUUAUCCCUAAAAUCAGCACAGAUCCAUAUUUACUUAAUCCCAAAUCUUCAUUUCCAGUUUUCAGCGCAAAGUGUAAACUUUGAUGCUAACCAAGAUUAGGUAUUAAGUAUACAAAGAAAAACGAAGAAGAAUUCUCGAAUAGUACAAAAAUUAUAAAUAAAUUGAGAAUAAGCAAAGAGGAAAAAGCGGAAAGAAAGAUAGAAUAGUAAAAAGCAGAAAUUUAUUGCAUCAUAUGCAUGUACAUAGAAAUUCCAAAGAUUUCAAUAAUAGCUUCAAUUAUCCCUAAAAUCAGCACAGAUCCAUAUUUACUUAAUCCCAAAUCUUCAUUUCCAGUUUUCAGCGCAAAGUGUAAACUUUGAUGCUAACCAAGAUUAGGUAUUAAGUAUUAAGUAUUAAGUAUACAAAGAAUAUGGAGAAAGAAGGCUACAGGGGUCAAAAACUUACAGUUAGAUUAGGAGUAGGGGAGAAAAGAAUUUUCUAUAAACGGAGAGAAAUAUCCUCUCACCGGUUUCAAUCGAGAUAGAGAGAGUCGGGGAAGAGACGGUUCUUUUAAUUCUAAUAGUGAUUUUGCCUUUCAAUAGUGACUGUUGGAUGCAGUAAAAGAUAAACCGUUUUCUAGUGUUUAGGAAAUUAAAAAAAGGAGAUAAUAGAUAAAUAGAAUUGUUGUUUACAUAAGGCGCCACAUCAUCCUCCUCAUGUC
rnacentral:lncRNA from 1 species